AGCGAACGCUAGCGGCAGGCCUAACACAUGCAAGUCGAACGCACCGCAAGGUGAGUGGCGCACGGGUGAGUAACACGUGGGAAUGUAUCCUUUGGUUCGGAAUAACGUCUGGAAACGGACGCUAAUAUCGGAUGAGCCCUUAGGGGGAAAGAUUUAUCGCCGAAGGAGCAGCCCGCGUCUGAUUAGGUAGUUGGUGGGGUAAAGGCCUACCAAGCCGACGAUCAGUAGCUGGUCUGAGAGGAUGAUCAGCCACACUGGGACUGAGACACGGCCCAGACUCCUACGGGAGGCAGCAGUGGGGAAUAUUGGACAAUGGGCGCAAGCCUGAUCCAGCCAUGCCGCGUGAGUGAUGAAGGCCUUCGGGUUGUAAAGCUCUUUCGCACACGACGAUGAUGACGGUAGUGUGAGAAGAAGCCCCGGCUAACUUCGUGCCAGCAGCCGCGGUAAAAC
rnacentral:rRNA from 1 species